rnacentral:pre_miRNA from 1 species
AUCACCUGGAGGUCUUGUUAAAAUAGAUUCCCAUUCAGAAGGUCAGGGGCAGGCCUGAGAUUCUGCAUUUCUAAGAAGCUCUUGGUGAUGC